AGUGAACGCUGGCGGUAGGCCUAACACAUGCAAGUCGAACGGCAGCACAGUAAGAGCUUGCUCUUACGGGUGGCGAGUGGCGGACGGGUGAGGAAUACAUCGGAAUCUACUUUUUCGUGGGGGAUAACGUAGGGAAACUUACGCUAAUACCGCAUACGACCUACGGGUGAAAGCAGGGGAUCUUCGGACCUUGCGCGAUUGAAUGAGCCGAUGUCGGAUUAGCUAGUUGGCGGGGUAAAGGCCCACCAAGGCGACGAUCCGGAGCUGGUCUGAGAGGAUGAUCAGCCACACGGGAACUGAGACACGGUCCAGACUCCUACGGGAGGCAGCAGUGGGGAAUAUUGGACAAUGGGCGCAAGCCUGAUCCAGCCAUACCGCGUGGGUGAAGAAGGCCUUCGGGUUGUAAAGCCCUUUUGUUGGGAAAGAAAAGCAGCAGGUUAAUACCCCGCGGUUCUGACGGUACCCAAAGAAUAAGCACCGGCUAACUUCGUG
rnacentral:rRNA from 1 species